CCUCAUGAAAAUUUGGCAAAAGAUAUUUUAUGUUCAUUAUAGAAGAUUUACUUCACUAUAGAAGUAUCUUCUCUCCACUCUCUCACUCUCCUCCAAAAUAAUCGCAUUGCAAUAAGAAAGUAUCAUCAUCUCCUUACUCCUCCAUGGCCAAAUCCUCGAGUAGUUAUCAUCAACCAAUCGAAUUGAAGAACAAAUCACACAGAAUUUGACUCCGAUUAAAUCAAACACUUCAAACGAAUCUCGAUUCACCCAUUUUUAUGAAAAUUCUCUGAUUUUUUUUAAACAAGGUACGAAUUGAUGCUUCCUUUUUGCGUUGUUUGGAGCAAAAUUCUUUUCACUUUCUUAGUUGGAUGGAUAUUAUGGUUCUAUCUUAUAUUUCUGUCAAUCCUAUCUCUCUAAAUGUUUCUUUUUUGGUAUUUAUUAAGGGGAUUGAAAUUACGUUAAAUAGUUAGUUUGAUCAAGGUGGAAGAGUGUGUAAAUUGACUAGAAAUUACGUCGGAGAAAUUGCAAAUGGGUGAGUAUUAGAGUUUCUUCAGUUUUGAUGCUCUGUUUCAGAUCUUUUUGAAGUAUAACAUGUUGCUUCCUUGAUGAAAAUGUUUGUCCUUUUAUAUAUACAAUAGAUACUUAUUUAUUCAAAUUUUAUUUAGUUGUUAGAAAAUUGAAUUAAACAAGAAGCAAUUUGUAGCUAGACUGAACCAACAACUUGAAUAGGGAUUAUUUUUCAUGUUUUUUUCACUUGACACUUUUAUAGUACUUCUUAAUUUUAGUGUAUGCUCUUUUACGUCAAGAGAAAUUCUGCAUUAUAGGAUUUUCAAAAAAAAAUUCAAUGCUCCAUAGAAAAUAGAUUCAAAUAGUUUUCUAAGCUAUUUCAAAGUCGAAACGUUGCGACGGAAACUUUGAAUCUUGUAAGCUAAUGAAUUUUAUAUCUACAUUGGCGUGAACAAAUGAUAUGAUUAGGAGUAAAAUAAUAGUGUUGUUUAGUGGGAUAUUUUGAUUAUAUUUGAAAGUUAAUUUUGUUGAUAACUUUCAAAUUGAAAAUGAUUAAUAUGUCUCAGAAGUCGAGUCAUCCAAUUAUAAAAUAUCAGUUUAUCUUAUAAACAUUGAUAUGUUAUACUAGAGGCCUUGAACUUCUCUUUUGCAAGUUGUCAAUUAAUGCAAAUUUCUCCUAGAUGAAACUUAUAUAUUGUUAAAUUUAUAGCUCUCUAAUUUUUAUUUUUGCACCCCGUCAGGCCAAUUGAGUGCAUUUGACAAGAUGGAAUAAAUAUUGGUUGUUACAGGUAAAUUACUAAUUCAUUUGACAAAUUACAUAAAAGAACAAUUUUUUUUAAACUUUGUGUAGAAGCUUUAAUUCAUGUCAUCAAGAAAGAUAAAAUAUGCAUUGAGGCUCAUAAAAAGAUUGUUUCCUUAGUUUGUAGUUACUACUUGAAUAUGUAUGUUAGUGUGUCAGUUAUUUUAUAGGUCUGGUAUUUUAUAUGUUCGUGUGAGAACUCUUUUAAGUUUCAGGUAUAUGCAAUUCUUAUUUGUGUUUUAUAUUGAGUACAUUUGGUGCAAUGAGUUGCCACUGUUUACUAUGUCAAUCCUAACAAAAUUAGCAUAUUCAUUCCACAUAUUCUUUGUUUUGGUGUAUCUAUCUAAUUUUAGUUUGUACGAAGCUUUAGGACAUACAAAGAGAGCAAUAUAAUAGUCCUAUGCGUAAACUUAUAAGAUGACUAUUUGAGAGUAUUUUUUCCUAUAUUGCAGCCUGCAAUUUUCAAUACUAAAUUUUUUUGUUAAUAGGUAGAAUUAAGUGCAGAAAAGCGAAUAUAUAUUGUUAUAAUUUGUUUUUGUGACAUGGCACAAUGUAUUUGAUAAUCCCAAAUAGUCUUAGUAUGUCUAAACCUAUCCUCUUCACCCAACAAUUUCACAUGAAGACUAAAUUGGGUAUAUAUAUUGUUGUAUGUUCAGUAGUAGUACUUAAGUAGAACGAGUUACAUUAAACCUUAAACAUACCAAAGUAUCUAAUAGUUUUAGUUUCAUACCUCAUUUGUUAUGCUAAUAAUAAGUAUACAAAAAAUCAAUUGCUUCAUCACUUCAAGAGGUGAAUUGUUGAGAAGCGAGUGCUUUGGCAAAGCGAUGUUAAGUAUGAAAACAUAUUUUAUUUAUAUUUUUAGCAUUUAAAAAGGUUUAUUUCUAAAUGAAAAGAAGUUUGACAUCAAAAGAUUACAUUUCACAUCUUCUCCAAUGAUUGAAUUUCAGGUAAACGUCUUUUUUAUCUUCUUCUACUUCUCCAUCUUGCUAUGUUUUCUUCUUCUUUCUUCUCCAACGCUCUCUAUUGUCUGCGAAACUUGUUUUUCUUUUCUUUCGUAUUCUACUUUCUUCAUCCUAAUUUAAAAUGUAACAUGUAAUUUUGAUCAAAGACAAUUCAGAAGAAAUUGAUCACAACAUAUAAGAUGCUUUGUUAGUGUUUGAUUUAUAAAUGUAAGUGUAAUUAGUACUUUCACAUAUGUAAAUAUUCCACUACAACAUCCAAUAGUAUGACGUUUGCAAAAUAUAUAGACAUUUUGUAGUUACUAUGUUCAAGAUAGUAAUAUUUUAAUUUACUUUAUAUAAUAGUGUUUAUAUGUGAUUUGGUCAUUUAAAUUAAUCUAUCUUAGACAACAAAUAAGACUACACGUUGGCAUAUUAUAUUUUUUAUUUCUAUCUAUUACAUAAAAGAGCCAUGAUUAGGACGACCAAUGGAAAUAUUAUAAUUUUAAAUAUUUUUUAAGGGCAAAGCUAUAACUUUAUAAUUGUACAAUUAGUGGUCAAAAUAAUUUUCUAGAAGAAUUCAAUAAUAUUUUUCAAGAGUCACAAAAGAUUUUGUUUCAUGUGUGACUCCACAUAAUCAUUUCAUUUAAUUUUUAAAAAUUAAUUUGUAGUUGUUUGAUUAUAAUAAUGUACAAAAUUUUUAUAUAAUUUAAAUAGUUCAUAUAUGUUUAUUGCUACUACUACAUAUUCAGUAUAACCUAUCAUCUUCCAUAAUGUAAUUUUCGUUUAAAUUAUAUAAAAUGCUUUUUAAACAUAAGUAUUCAUAUCGUUUUAACAGAAAAUGGUCAAAAAUAUCCUUAAACUAUUCGAAAUAGUUCAUAUAUAUCCUUAAAUUAUAUUUCGGCUCAAAACUCUCCGUCCCGUCUAACUAUUGGGUCAAAGGUGCAAUUCUUAUUAAUGGAAGUUGUUAAAUGUCAUGUGAAUGUCACAUUGCACGCCAAUAGGGUUCCACUGCCACUUAGACUAAAAGGAAAACGGUAAAAAAAUACUCUUAAACUAUCUGAAAUAGUUCAUAUUGACUCUUAAACUAUAUUUCGGCUCCAAACUACCCUUUCCGUCAAACUAUUGAAUCAAAAGUGUCUUUCUUAUUAACGAAAGUUGUUAAGUGCCAACUGAAUUCCAUAUUGCACGCCAAUAGGGUUCCACUGCCACAGACUAAAUCCUUAAGUCUUUACUACUCUUUUUUCCCCUCAUUUCAUUAUUUUCCAUUAAUGAUUUUGCUCCUUCUCCCUUAUUUCGCGGCUAAGAGUUUUAAAGUUUUCUUCGUCACUGGGUUUCAAAGUGGAUCUUCGUGGUUGUAGGUUAGUAAAUUUUUUUUCUUAUUUUACCUCCAAAUAAGUACUUAUUUAAUCUCCAAAAUAAAAUUGUUUUAUGUUAAUAAUUGUCACUUAAAUAAGAAAACAAAAAUAUCACAAUUCUAAGAGAUAAAAAAUCGAGUUGAUAAUGUAAGAAUAAAAAAAAUGACAAAAUAAUGAGUGCAUAGUUAUAGUUUAAUAAAACAUAUAACCAAUUAACGGUAUAAAUUUAUAAAUAGAAUAUAUAUAUAUAUAUAUAUAUAUAUAUAUAUAUAUAUAUAUAUAUAU
rnacentral:lncRNA from 1 species